rnacentral:rRNA from 1 species
UACGUAGGGUGCGAGCGUUGUCCGGAAUUAUUGGGCGUAAAGAGCUCGUCGGCGGUCUGUCGCGUCUGCUGUGAAAACCCGAGGCUCAACCUCGGGCCUGCAGUGGGUACGGGCAGACUAGAGUGUGGUAGGGGAGACUGGAAUUCCUGGUGUAGCGGUGAAAUGCGCAGAUAUCAGGAGGAACACCGAUGGCGAAGGCAGGUCUCUGGGCCACUACUGACGCUGAGAAGCGAAAGCAUGGGGAGCAAACAGG